CCUUGGGGACACCGAGACUCCUGGGACAUCGACCCCUCCCUCUGGAUCAUCCCCGUGGGAUUGGGAACAGCCGGAGCUUCUCCCGGAGCCGUGAACGGGACGGAGGAUUUGGGGGAUUUGGGGGGCUCUGGGACCCCCCCUUGGGGACACCGAGACCCCCCUGGGGACACUGAGACCCCUUUGGGGACACUGAGACCCCCUUGGGGACAAGGAAACCCCCCUGAGGACACCGAGACCCCCCUGAGGACCCCAAGAAUCCCGGGAUUGUCCCCAUGGGAUCGGGAGCCGGAUGGGACCGAGGGCGUCCCUUGGAUCCAUCCUGAGGACUUUUUGGGACCGGGGGGGUCUCCAGAUGGGACUGAGGAGCUCCCACAGGGACCUGGGGGGGUCCAUAUGGGAUUGGGGGGACCAGGAGUGUCCAUAUGGGAUUUUGGGGGGACCAGGACCCUCCAUAUGGGAUUGGGGGGAUCAGGACCCUCCAUAUGGGACUGGGGGUGUCCCUGUGGGGCCAGGACCCUCCCUAUGGGACCACAAGCUCUGUAGGGGACCAGGAGUGUCCAUAUGGGAUCGGGGGGACCAGGACCCUUCAUAUGGGAUUGGGGGGGACCAGGAGUGUCCAUAUGGGAUUGGGGGGACCAGGAGUGUCCAUAUGGGAUUGGGGGUGUCCAUACAGAGCUGGGACCACCCCCUUUGGGGCCAGGACCCCCCAUAUGGGACCAAGACACUCCAUAUAGGAUCAAGACCCUCCAUAUGGGAGCAGGAGCUUCCAUAGGGGACCGAGAGGAUCCAGACAGAGCCGGGACCAUCCCUGUGGGGCCAGGAGGCUCCAUA